CCUACGGGUGGCAGCAGUGAGGAAUAUUGGUCAAUGGGCGCGCGCCUGAACCAGCCAAGUAGCGUGAAGGAUGACUGCCCUACGGGUUGUAAACUUCUUUUAUUAAGGAAUAAAGUUAGGCACGUUUGCCUUUUUGUAUGUACUUUAUGAAUAAUGAUCGGCUAACUCCGUGCCAGCAGCCGCGGUCAUACGGAGGAUCCGAGCGUUAUCCGGAUUUAUUGGGUUUAAAGGGAGCGUAGAUGGUUUGUUAAGUCAGUUGUGAAAGUUUGCGGCUCAACCGUAAAAUUGCAAUUGAUACUGGCAGCCUUGAGUACAGUUGAGGUAGGCGGAAUUCGUGGUGUAGCGGUGAAAUGCUUAGAUAUCACGAAGAACUCCGAUUGCGAAGGCAGCUUACUAAACUGCCACUGACAUUGAUGCUCGAAAGUGUGGGUAUCAAACAGGAUUAGAUACCCUGGUAGUC
rnacentral:rRNA from 1 species